UCUCAUUUAGAGGAAGUAAAAGUCGUAACNAGGUUUCCGUAGGUGAACCUGCGGAAGGAUCAUUAUCGAGUUAGGGUCUUCAUGGCCUGACCUCCAACCCUGUGUCUAUCAUACCACGUUGCUUCGGCGGGUCCGUCUUUCAUCGGACCGCCGGGGGGUCGCGAGACUUCCUGGCCCGCGCCCGCCGAUGGCCCCAAUAUAAACUCUGUAUAACCAUGUUUGUCUGAGUUCUUAAAUUAAAUAAAAACAAAACUUUCAACAACGGAUCUCUUGGUUCUGGCAUCGAUGAAGAACGCAGCGAAAUGCGAUAAGUAGUGUGAAUUGCAGAAUUCAGUGAAUCAUCGAAUCUUUGAACGCACAUUGCGCCCUAUGGUAUUCCGUAGGGCAUGCCUGUUCGAUGUGUUGGAAAAACAACCCGGACUGAGUCCUGUGUUGCUUAUGAGCUUUCUCACACUGUGAGUAGCUAAAAGAUUGUGUCACCACAAAUUUUGAGGGGUCGCUCUCUUUUGGUCUGGUUCAAACACUUUGUUUGGCUGAGUUCGAAAGUGCUAUUUAAACAACUCCUAAAGUGAACAUACGAAUUGGGGACGGAAGACCUCGGCAAUGGUUGUUUCGACAUCCAUACGGGCGACGGCCAUCUUCUUUGUCACAUGUAGGAGUUGGGCAUUUUCGAAAUCUUGGCCCGAAGAAUUGAACUUUUUCAAAAGGGUGUUUGCAUCUCGAUGGAUCCAGUUUGGAUCCCCCCAAANCCCAUCAAAUC
rnacentral:rRNA from 1 species